rnacentral:sRNA from 1 species
ACAGUAAAAAGUCCGAGGGCAGCCGCCGGGCGCAGGAUGGGAUCCGGCUCCUCCAGCUACCGGCCCAAGGCCAUCUACCUGGACAUCGAUGGACGCAUUCAGAAGCACUCCCUACAAAGUGAGACCUGUGGCCAUCAAGCAACUCUCUGAGCAUUCAAAAUCAAUGAACUGAAAGCUGAAGUUGCAAAUCACUUGGCUGUCCUAGAGAAACGCGUGGAAUGACCAACUGCCCCUGUAAGUACAGUUUUUUGGAUAACCACAAGAAGUUGACUCCUCGACGCGAUGUUCCCACUUACCCCAAGUACCUGCUCUCUCCAGAGACCAUCGAGGCCCUGCGGAAGCCGACCUUUGACGUCUGGCUUUGGGAGCCCAAUGAGAUGCUGAGCUGCCUGGAGCACAUGUACCACGACCUCGGGCUGGUCAGGGACUUCAGCAUCAACCCUGUCACCCUCAGGAGGUGGCUGUUCUGCGUCCACGACAACUACAGAAACAACCCCUUCCACAACUUCCGGCACUGCUUCUGCGUGGCCCAGAUGAUGUACAGCAUGGUGUGGCUCUGCAGUCUCCAGGAGAACUUCUCACAAAUGGAUAUCCUGAUCCUAAUGACAGCGGCCAUCUGCCACGAUCUGGACCAUCCCGGCUACAACAACACGUACCAGAUCAAUGCCCGCACAGAGCUGGCGGUCCGCUACAAUGACAUCUCACCGCUGGAGAACCACCACUGCGCCGUGGCCUUCCAGAUCCUCGCCGAGCCUGAGUGCAACAUCUUCUCCAACAUCCCACCUGAUGGGUUCAAGCAGAUCCGACAGGGAAUGAUCACAUUAAUCUUGGCCACUGACAUGGCAAGACAUGCAGAAAUUAUGGAUUCUUUCAAAGAGAAAAUGGAGAAUUUUGACUACAGCAACGAGGAGCACAUGACCCUGCUGAAGAUGAUUUUGAUAAAAUGCUGUGAUAUCUCUAACGAGGUCCGUCCAAUGGAAGUCGCAGAGCCUUGGGUGGACUGUUUAUUAGAGGAAUAUUUUAUGCAGAGCGACCGUGAGAAGUCAGAAGGCCUUCCCGUGGCCCCGUUCAUGGACCGAGACAAAGUGACCAAGGCCACAGCCCAGAUUGGGUUCAUCAAGUUUGUCCUGAUCCCAAUGUUUGAAACAGUGACCAAGCUCUUCCCCAUGGUUGAGGAGAUCAUGCUGCAGCCACUUUGGGAAUCCCGAGAUCGCUACGAGGAACUGAAGCGGAUAGAUGAUGCCAUGAAAGAGUUACAGAAGAAGACUGACAGCUUGACGUCUGGGGCCACCGAGAAGUCCAGAGAGAGAAGCAGAGAUGUGAAAAACAGUGAAGGAGACUGUGCCUGAGGAAAGCGGGGGGCGUGGCUGCGGUUCUGGACAGGCUGGCCGAGCUGCGCGGGAUCCUUGUGCAGGGAAGAGCUGCCCUGGGCACCUGGCACCACAAAACCACGUUUUCUAAGAACCAUUUUGUUCACUGAUACAAAAAAAAAAAAAAGGAAUUCAUGAUGCUGUACAGAAUUUUAUUUUUAAACUGUCUUUUAAAUAAUAUAUUCUUAUACGGAAA